UGGCGGCUGCUUGUGCGCCGGAUCCUGGAAAGGGCCGGGCGCCAUUGUGCUUCGCUGCGGACUGCUCUCCGCCCCCACCCCCCUCGCCACCCCCAGUCAGAGAGGCCUCCGACGGCGAGGCGGGACGCGGCGGCGGGAUCGCUGUGAGCGCGACGCGCCCUGGUCAGCGCCGGCUCCGGAGCUGAGGGAAUCUUAAGAAUGGAGUCUAAACCUUCAAGGAUUCCAAGAAGAAUUUCUGUUCAGCCCUCCAGCUCUUUAAGUACUAGGAUGAUGUCUGGAAGCAGAGGAAAUAGUUUUAAUGAAACCUAUCACUCAAGAGACUCUUCAUUUAGACUGGAUUCUGAUUAUCAGUCUGCUUCAGCAUCUGCAUCACCGUUUCAGUCCACAUGGUACAGUGAGUCUGAGAUAACUCAGGGAGCACACUCCAGGUCGCAGAAUCAACAACGCGAUCAUGAUUCAAAAAGACCUAAACUUUCCUGUGCAAACUGUACAUCUACCUCAGCUUCAAGAAAUGUUGGAAGUGGCUUAAAUGCAGUAUCAGAUUCUUCUUGGAGGCAUAGUCAAGUUCCCAGAUCUUCAUCAAUGGUACUUGGAUCAUUUGGAACAGAUUUAAUGAGAGAGAGGAGAGAUUUGGAGAGAAGAACAGAUUCCUCUCUUAGUAAUCUUAUAGAUUAUAGUCAUCGAAGUAGUGAUUUCACAACUUCAUCAUAUGCUCAAGACAGAGUUCCUUCUUCAUAUUCACAGGGAGCAAGACCAAAAGAAAACUCAUUGAGCACUUUACAGUUGAAUACAUCAUCCACCAACCACCAAUUGCCUUCUGAACAUCAAAGCAUGCCAAGUUCUAGGGACUCCAGCAGAAAUUCCUUAAGGGCACAUUUUUCUUCAAGAGAAUCAGGAUCUCCCCGAAGCAGUACACUAUCUGGAUUUUCUUUUAUUCCAAGUCGAGAUGAAGCUCCAACUAUAAGCAAUUCAGAAAGGGUUGGUUCAUCUCAAAGAUCAUUUCAAGAGUCUUCGGACAAUGAAGGUAGGCGGACAACCAGGAGGUUGUUAUCACGUAUAGCAUCUAGCAUGUCAUCUACAUUUUUUUCACGAAGAUCUAGUCAGGAUUCCUUGAAUACAAGGUCAUUGAGUUCUGAAAAUUCUUACAUUUCUCCAAGAAUUUUGACAGCUUCACAGUCUCGUAGUACUGCAACAUCUACAUCUGAAGUUCCCGAUAAUAGGGCAUCUGAAGGUCCUCAGGGAUUUCGAUUUCUUAGGCGAAGAUGGGGUUUGUCAUCUCUUAGCCAGAAUCAUAGCUCUGAGCCAGAUUCAGAGAAUUUUCACCAAGAGUCUGAAGGUAGAAGUACAGGACCAUGGUUAUCUUCCUCAUUUAGAAAUAGGUGCACUCCUUUGUUCUCCAGAAGGAGACGAGAAGGAAGAGAUGAAUCCUCAAGGCUAUCUACCUCUGAGAUGCCAUCUAGAUCUCAUAUUUUUAGAAGAGACUCAAAUGAAGUAGUUCACCUUGAAGCACAGAAUGAUCCUGUUGGGGCUGCUGCCAGCCGACCACAAGCAACUGCAGCAUCAAGUAGUGCCGCCGCAGGAGGCUCCACGUCAGAGUCGGCUCAAGGUGGAAGAAACACAGGAAUAACAGGGAUUCUUCCUGGUUCUUUAUUCCGAUUUGCAGUGCCCCCAGCACUCGGAAGUAAUUUGACUGACAAUGUCAUGAUUACUGUAGAUAUUAUUCCUUCAGGUUGGAAUUCAACUGAUGGGAAAAGUGAUAAAAGUAAAAGUGCAUCUUCCAGAGAUCCAGAAAGACUGCAGAAAAUAAAAGAGAGCCUCCUACUAGAGGACUCUGAGGAAGAAGAAGGCGACUUGUGUAGAAUUUGUCAGAUGGCAGCUGCCUCAUCAUCUAAUUUGCUGAUAGAGCCCUGCAAGUGCACGGGAAGUCUACAGUAUGUCCACCAAGAGUGUAUGAAAAAGUGGUUGCAGGCAAAAAUUAACUCUGGUUCUUCCUUGGAGGCCGUAACUACCUGUGAACUCUGUAAAGAGAAGUUGCAGCUUAACCUGGAGGAUUUUGAUAUUCAUGAACUACAUAGAGCUCAUGCAAAUGAACAAGUUAGUAUAUUUUGCCUAAUUUGGCUGAGUAUGAGUUUAUCAGCUCCGGUCUCUACCUAGUUGUAUUGUUGCACCUGUGUGAACAAAGCUUCUCUGACAUGAUGGGAAAUACAAAUGAACCAAGCACACGUGUCCGAUUUAUUAACCUUGCAAGAACGCUUCAGGCACAUAUGGAAGAUCUCGAAACUUCAGAGGAUGAGUCUGAAGAAGAUGGAGACCAUAACAGAACCUUUGAUAUUGCCUAACUUCAUAUAAGACAAAUGGAUGGUCUGUGAACAAGUGUUUUAUUAAAACUGGCAAUUAAGUAAGAAUUCAUUUUGUGCGGGAAUGCCUAUUAGAUAUGUUGACUAUAUAGAACAAAUAUUUAUAUACAUAUGCAUGUGUGUAUAUAUGCAUAUGUGUAUAGAUAUUCUCCAGUGUUGCUUAAUUGAAACUGCUGGACCUUUUAACAUGACCAGUUAAUCUAAUGUUUAUAAACUGGUCAUCAGAAGUAUUUUUGGCAAGUGGGAAAGUAUUAACCUUGUUUUAAAUCUAAACAGUGCACAUCAGCUCUUUUUUGUGUUUUGAUUACUGUAGUCAUAUUUAUGAAAAAUGGUUCGUGUUAGUCUCUUCCUAGUGAGAAAAGUGGAAAUUUUGCUUUGGAAAUUAAAUGCCAAAUAGUACCUGAUUAGUUUUCCUUUUGAAAUGCCUUAAGUUGCAGUCACAUUUUGAUAAUCAUUUGCUUCCAGUGUUUUAAAAAAAAAUUGUUUUUUUAAGAAUGGGGAGAAGGUCAUAAAGAACAUAUUAGGUUUCAAAUUUAAUUUGAAUUCUAAAUUUAGCAGAACCUAAUUUUUAGAAAUAUAAAAUGUAUAAAUGAUGGUUAAACUUUUGUAUUAAUUUGCAAAAUGGAGAUUAUAUUUGAUAGGCCAUAGAAUGUAGAUAUUCUUUUUGGGAAUAUUACAGCUAUAAUUAGACAUGAAUUGCCAGUCAAAUGCUGUUUGGUUUUAAAAAAAAAAAAAUUAUUGCAAUUUCAAGUUAUUGGAAUGUUUUUAAAUCCCACAUUCAAAGUUUAAAACACUGGUUUUCAAUGUGUUUUUUAGUGUUGUCACUUUAUAGAUAAAUAUGAUAUAAAUAACCUGUUUGGAUUCUGGUCGUUUUUAACUGUUCCUUGGUAAUUCUGAGGAUUUAUUUGGUGAUUAUUAAUAUUUUUCACUAUCUCUUCAGAGAACAGAUGAAUAUUACCUGUUCACUAUCAGUAGGCCUACACUGUCAUGAGUUGUGUGUAUUUUCAUAACACUGUAUUUCUCCUCUGUCAACACCAUUAAGAAAUGCUUAAAACAUCUUCAGGUGGUAUUAGGAUAAAGUCUGAUGUUAUGUCAGCAAAUUUCCUUUUCAGAACCCGAAUACAAACUAUGUAAUUUCUCCAAUGUGAACAGUUUGCCCUCACUUAGUUUGUUGGUCUUAUGUAAAAUUUUGGCUUGAAAUAAAGUAUGUACGGAUCAAUUAA